CGGAGCGGGAGGAGGCGGCGGCGGCCGAGGAGGAGGAGGAGGCCCAGGAGGAGGAGGCGUUGGAGGCCGAGGAGGAGGAGGAGGAGGCCGCGGAGGAGGAGGCCGAGGCGGAGGAGGAGGAGGAGGCCGGGCUCGGGAGGCAGCAUGAGCCGAGCGCGGCGGCCGCGGCUCCUCUCGGCUGCGCUCGUUGCCCAUUGACAGCAGCGUCUGCAGCUCGCUUCAAGAUGGCCGCUUGGCUCACAUUCAUUUUCUGCUGAACGACUUUUAACUUUCAUUGUCUUUUCCGCCCGCUGCGAUCGCUUCUCGCCGGCUGCUUUUUCCGGGAUCUUUUAUCAAGCAGAAAUGCAUCGAACAACCAGAAUCAAGAUCACUGAGCUAAAUCCCCACCUAAUGUGUGUGCUUUGUGGAGGGUACUUCAUUGAUGCCACAACCAUAAUAGAAUGUCUACAUUCCUUCUGUAAAACGUGUAUUGUGCGUUACCUGGAGACCAGCAAGUAUUGUCCUAUCUGUGAUGUCCAAGUUCACAAGACCAGACCACUACUGAAUAUAAGGUCAGAUAAAACUCUUCAAGAUAUUGUAUACAAAUUAGUUCCAGGGCUUUUCAAAAAUGAAAUGAAGAGAAGAAGGGAUUUUUAUGCAGCUCAUCCUUCAGCUGAUGCUGCCAAUGGCUCUAAUGAAGAUAGAGGAGAAGUUGCAGAUGAAGAUAAGAGAAUUAUAACUGAUGAUGAAAUAAUAAGUUUAUGCAUUGAAUUCUUUGACCAGAACAGAUUGGAUCGGAAAGUAAAUAAAGACAAGGAGAAAUCUAAGGAGGAGGUGAAUGAUAAAAGGUAUUUACGAUGCCCAGCAGCAAUGACUGUGAUGCACCUAAGAAAGUUUCUCAGAAGUAAAAUGGACAUACCUAAUACUUUCCAGAUUGAUGUCAUGUAUGAAGAGGAACCUUUAAAGGAUUACUAUACACUAAUGGACAUUGCCUACAUUUAUACCUGGAGAAGGAAUGGUCCGCUUCCUUUGAAAUACAGAGUUCGACCUACUUGUAAAAGAAUGAAGAUCAGUCAUCAGAGAGAUGGACUGACAAACGCUGGAGAACUGGAAAGUGACUCUGGGAGUGACAAGGCCAACAGCCCAGCAGGAGGUAUUCCCUCCACCUCUUCUUGUUUGCCCAGCCCCGGCACUCCAGUCCAGUCUCCUCAUCCUCAGUUUCCUCACAUUUCCAGCACUAUGAAUGGAACCAGCAGCAGCCCCAGCAGUAACCACCAAUCUUCUUUUGCCAAUAGACCUCGAAAAUCGUCAGUAAAUGGGUCGUCAGCAACUUCAUCUGGUUGAUACCUGAGACUGUUGAGGAAAAAAAUUUUAAACCCCUGAUUUAUAUAGAUAUCUUCAUGCCAUUACAGCUUUAUAGAUGCUAAUACAUGUGACUAUCGUCCAAUUUGCUUUCUUUUGUAGUGACGUUAAAUUUGGCUAUAAAAGAUGGACUAGAUGUGA